rnacentral:rRNA from 1 species
UACGUAGGUCCCGAGCGUUGUCCGGAUUUAUUGGGCGUAAAGCGAGCGCAGGUAGUUUAUUAAGUCUGGUGUAAAAGGCAGUGGCUCAACCAUUGUAUGCAUUGGAAACUGGUAGACUUGAGUGCAGGAGAGGAGAGUGGAAUUCCAUGUGUAGCGGUGAAAUGCAUAGAUAUAUGGAGGAACACCGGUGGCGAAAGCGGCUCUCUGGCCUGUAACUGACACUGAGGCUCGAAAGCGUGGGGAGCAAACAGG